CGGUGAUUGGCGCAGCCUGGUAGCGCACUUCGUUCGGGACGAAGGGUCGGAGGUUCGAAUCCUCUAUCACCGACCA
rnacentral:tRNA from 1 species